rnacentral:hammerhead_ribozyme from 1 species
AUCCAGUUGAUGAAUCCUAAAUGAGAUGAAACGUACGUCAUGGAU